UGAGGAAUAUUGGUCAAUGGACGCAAGUCUGAACCAGCCAAGUAGCGUGCAGGAUGACGGCCCUAUGGGUUGUAAACUGCUUUUAUGUGGGAAUAAAUUGGCGCACGUGUGCGCCAUUGCAUGUACCUCAUGAAUAAGGACCGGCUAAUUCCGUGCCAGCAGCCGCGGUAAUACGGAAGGUCCGGGCGUUAUCCGGAUUUAUUGGGUUUAAAGGGAGUGUAGGCGGUCUGUUAAGCGUGUUGUGAAAUUUAGGUGCUCAACAUUUAACUUGCAGCGCGAACUGUCAGACUUGAGUACACGCAGCGCAGGCGGAAUUCAUGGUGUAGCGGUGAAAUGCUUAGAUAUCAUGAGGAACUCCGAUCGCGAAGGCAGCCUGCGGGAGUGUUACUGACGCUUAAGCUCGAAGGUGCGGGUAUCGAACAGGAUUAGAUACCCUGGUAGUCCGCACAGUAAACGAUGGAUGCCCGCCGUUGGCGCCCUGCGCCUGCGGCCAAGCGAAAGCAUUAAGCAUCCCACCUGGGGAGUACGCCGGCAACGGUG
rnacentral:rRNA from 1 species